GAUGAACGCUGGCGGCGUGCCUAAUACAUGCAAGUCGAGCGAACAGACGAGGAGCUUGCUCCUCUGACGUUAGCGGCGGACGGGUGAGUAACACGUGGAUAACCUACCUAUAAGACUGGGAUAACUUCGGGAAGCCGGAGCUAAUACCGGAUAAUAUAUUGAACCGCAUGGUUCAAUAGUGAAAGACGGUUUUGCUGUCACUUAUAGAUGGAUCCGCGCCGCAUUAGCUAGUUGGUAAGGUAACGGCUUACCAAGGCAACGAUGCGUAGCCGACCUGAGAGGUUGAUCGGCCACACUGGAACUGAGACACGGUCCAGACUCCUACGGGAGGCAGCAGUAGGGAAUCUUCCGCAAUGGGCGAAAGCCUGACGGAGCAACGCCGCGUGAGUGAUGAAGGUCUUCGGAUCGUAAAACUCUGUUAUUAGGGAAGAACAAAUGUGUAAGUAACUAUGCACGUCUUGACGGUACCUAAUCAGAAAGCCACGGCUAACUACGUG
rnacentral:rRNA from 1 species